UACGUAGGGUGCAAGCGUUUGUCCGGAAUUAUUGGGCGUAAAGAGCUCGUAGGCGGUCUGUCACGUCGGCUGUGAAAUCCCGCGGCUCAACUGCGGGUCUGCAGUCGAUACGGGCAGGCUAGAGUUCGGUAGGGGAGACUGGAAUUCCUGGUGUAGCGGUGAAAUGCGCAGAUAUCAGGAGGAACACCGAUGGCGAAGGCAGGUCUCUGGGCCGAUACUGACGCUGAGGAGCGAAAGCGUGGGGAGCGAACAGG
rnacentral:rRNA from 1 species